rfam:Oryza glumipatula chromosome 8, whole genome shotgun sequence.
CCUUGGUUUCCAUAUCCAACGUUAUCCAACGUUUAACCGUCCGUUUUAUUUAAAAUAAUUAUAAAAAAAUUAAAAAGACAAAUCACGUAUAAAGUAUUAAUCAUGUUUUAUCGUAAAACAAUAAUAAAACUACUGAUUAUAAAAAAAAUUCAUAUAAAACGGACAGUCAAACGUUGCACACAGAAACCCAAAGUUUGUCUUUUU